UACCAGCUCUCCGAGGGGUAGGGAUGAUUAUUGGGCUUAAAGCGUCCGUGGCCGGCUUAGCAAGUCUCCUGUUAAAUUCAGCGACCCAAUCGUUGAGCCGCGGGAGAUACUACUAGGCUAGGAGGCGGGAGAGGUCGACGGUACUUUCGGGGUAGGGGUGAAAUCCUAUAAUCCCGGGAGGACCACCAGUGGCGAAGGCUGUCGACUAGAACGCGCUCGACGGUGAGGGACGAAAGCUGGGGGAGCGAACCGGAUUAGAUACCCGGGUAGUCCCAGCUGUAAACGAUGCGGGCUAGGUGUUGGGGUGGCUACGGGCCACUUCAGUGCCGCAGGAAAGCCAUUAAGCCCGCCGCCUGGGGAGUACGGCCGCAAGGCUGAAACUUAAAGGAAUUGGCGGGGAGCACCACAAGGCGUGAAGCUUGCGGUC
rnacentral:rRNA from 1 species